AUGGAUCACCAACAGUCCAGGUUUUGUCAGUUUUUCUAUUGGAAGAAAACAGGGAAAUACAUAAAUCCUGGACUGUUGGUGGUCCAUGAGGGCA